AAGUCGUAACAAGGUUUCCGUAGGUGAACCUGCGGAAGGAUCAUUAUUGAAUUAAUGUAGAGUUUGGUUGUAGCUGGCCCCUAAUUAACUUGGGGGCAUGUGCACACCUUUCUCUUUCAUCCCAUACACACCUGUGCACCUGUGAGACAGAUGUUUUCUAGGGGGGAAGGAACUUUAUUGGACCUACUCUCCUUGGACUCUCUGUCUACUUAAUCUAUAUAAACUCAAUUUAUUUUAAAAUGAAUGUAAUGGAUGUAACACAUCUAAUACUAAGUUUCAACAACGGAUCUCUUGGCUCUC
rnacentral:misc_RNA from 1 species